rnacentral:rRNA from 1 species
UACGGAGGGUGCAAGCGUUGUUCGGAAUCACUGGGCGUAAAGCGCGUGUAGGCGGCUACUUAAGUCUGAUGUGAAAGCCCUGGGCUUAACCCAGGAAGUGCAUUGGAUACUGGGUAGCUCGAGUACCGGAGAGGAGGGUGGAAUUCCUGGUGUAGCAGUGAAAUGCGUAGAUAUCAGGAGGAACACCGGUGGCGAAGGCGUCCCUCUGGCCGGAUACUGACGCUGAGACGCGAAAGCGUGGGGAGCAAACAGG